CCUACGGGUGGCAGCAGUGGGGAAUAUUGCGCAAUGGGCGAAAGCCUGACGCAGCGACGCCGCGUGAGGGAUGAAGGUCUUCGGAUCGUAAAACUCUGUCAGCAGGGAAGAACGGUCACUGUGCUAAUCAGCAGUGAAUUGACGGUACCUGCAAAGGAAGCAUCGGCUAACUCCGUGCCAGCAGCCACGGUAAUAAGGAGGUUGCGAGCGUUAAUCGGAAUUACUGGGCGUAAAGCGCUCGUAGGCGGUAUGUCAAGUCAAGGGUGAAAUCCCCGCGCUCAACGUGGGAACUGCCUUUGAAACUGGCAGACUGGAGUGUGUGAGAGGAUAGUGGAAUUCCAGGUGUAGCGGUGAAAUGCGUAGAUAUCGGGAAGAACAUCAGUUGCGAAGGCGACUAUCUGGCACAUAACUGACGCUGAGGAGCGAAAGCGUGGGUAGCGAACAGGAUUAGAUACCCCGGUAGUC
rnacentral:rRNA from 1 species